AUAAUAACGCGAAGGGAGGGGGUUGAGGGGGGGGCAAAGCGGCGGGGACGAUGCUGCUGGGUUUUUUUUCUCGGUGGAGCGGGGGAGACGGCGGCGAUGCCCGGGUGCUGCUGGUGCUGCCGGAGGAGGGGAUGAGCUGUGGCCGGGCAGGGCGGAGGGGGCCGCGGGGUGCAGUUUCCCCAUCACCUCUCAGCCCAGCGGCUAAAGAAGAUCUGCAAAGAAUGGCAAAGAAGAUUUUCGAUUAAAACCUUAGCCCAUCUCCACGGAUUACUUUAUAUCGAUUCCUAUAUAUAUGGCUGCAAUUGAUGGGCUCUAAUUAAAAAUCCAAAGGGGGGGAAAAAAAAUAAAAGUUCUUUCUGGGUCUCAAUAAAAGGAGCUUUUCAUAUACGGGAAAUAAAGGUUGUAAAAGGUUACAAACGAA